rnacentral:rRNA from 1 species
AACGAACGCUGGCGGCAGGCCUAACACAUGCAAGUCGAACGCCCCGCAAGGGGAGUGGCAGACGGGUGAGUAACACGUUGGAACGUACCCUUUGGUUCGGAACAACUCCGGGAAACUGGAGCUAAUACCGGAUAAGCCCCUCGGGGGAGAGAUUUAUCGCCGAAGGAUCGGCCCGCGUCGGAUUAGCUAGUUGGUGGGGUAAAAGCCUACCAAGGCGACGAUCCGUAGCUGGUCUGAGAGGAUGACCAGCCACACUGGGACUGAGACACGGCCCAGACUCCUACGGGAGGCAGCAGUGGGGAAUAUUGGACAAUGGGCGUAAGCCUGAUCCAGCCAUGCCGCGUGAGUGAUGAAGGCCUUAGGGUUGUAAAGCUCUUUCGCCAGGGACGAUAAUGACGGUACCUGGAUAAGAAGCCCCGGCUAACUUCGUGCCAGCCGCCGCGGUAAUAC